AAAUUCACAAUCAAUUAGAAAAUGCAGUGUAAAAUUCCACAAAAAUUCAUACAACAUCUCAACAUGUUAACAAUUCACCAUGCAAAAUUUCAUAUUAUUUCAACAAGUAUAGGUCCAUCAAUUAAAUUCAACAAGUUGACAUCAAGAGGUGUGACACAAAUUGUCACACCUAAGUUCCAAAAUUCACAUCUCAAUGGCCAGGUAUCAAAAAUGCAUGAAAUUUACAUAUAAAUGAAC
rnacentral:lncRNA from 1 species